rnacentral:rRNA from 1 species
UACGUAGGGACCAAGCGUUGUUCGGAUUUACUGGGCGUAAAGGGCGCGUAGGCGGCUUAACAAGUCACUUGUGAAAUCUCCGGGCUUAACUCGGAACGGCCAAGUGAAACUGUCAAGCUAGAGUGCAGAAGGGGCAAUCGGAAUUCUUGGUGUAGCGGUGAAAUGCGUAGGUAUCAAGAGGAACACCUGAGGUGAAGACGGGUUGCUGGGCUGACACUGACGCUGAGGCGCGAAAGCCAGGGGAGCAAACGGG